AGAGUUUGAUUCUGGCUCAGGAUGAACGCUAGCGAUAGGCCUAACACAUGCAAGUCGAGGGGCAGCACAUGAAGUAGCAAUACGGAUGGUGGCGACCGGCGCACGGGUGAGUAACGCGUAUGCAACCUGCCUACAACAGGGGAAUAACCCGUUGAAAGACGGACUAAUACCCCAUAACACAGGGAUCCCGCAUGGGAAUAUUUGUUAAAGAUUUAUCGGUUGUAGAUGGGCAUGCGUUCCAUUAGCUUGUUGGUGAGGUAACGGCUCACCAAGGCAACGAUGGAUAGGGGAACUGAGAGGUUUAUCCCCCACACUGGUACUGAGACACGGACCAGACUCCUACGGGAGGCAGCAGUGAGGAAUAUUGGUCAAUGGACGCAAGUCUGAACCAGCCACGUCGCGUGAAGGAAGACGGCCCUACGGGUUGUAAACUUCUUUUGUAAGGGAAUAAAGUGCAGUACGUGUACUGUUUUGCAUGUACCUUACGAAUAAGGAUCGGCUAACUCCGUGCCAGCAGCCGCGGUAAUACGGAGGAUCCGAGCGUUAUCCGGAUUUAUUGGGUUUAAAGGGUGCGCAGGCGGGAGAUUAAGUCGGCGGUGAAAUUUUGCAGCUCAACUGUAAAAGUGCCUUCGAAACUGGUUUUCUUGAGUGUGGAUGAAGUAGGCGGAAUUUGUGGUGUAGCGGUGAAAUGCAUAGAUAUCACGAGGAACUCCGAUUGCGCAGGCAGCUUACUAAACCAUAACUGACGCUCAGGCACGAAGGCGUGGGGAUCAAACAGGAUUAGAUACCCUGGUAGUC
rnacentral:rRNA from 1 species